rnacentral:rRNA from 1 species
UACGUAGGGUGCAAGCGUUGUCCGGAAUUAUUGGGCGUAAAGAGCUUGUAGGCGGUUUGUCGCGUCUGCUGUGAAAUUUCGGGGCUCAACCCCGAACUUGCAGUGGGUACGGGCAGACUAGAGUGUGGUAGGGGGAGACUGGAAUUCCUGGUGUAGCGGUGAAAUGCGCAGAUAUCAGGAGGAACACCGAUGGCGAGGGCAGGUCUCUGGGCCACUACUGACGCUGAGAAGCGAAAGCAUGGGGAGCGAACAGG